rfam:Dipodomys ordii contig_36789, whole genome shotgun sequence.
ACGGCCAAGGUGCUCCUUGGCCCCCACGACUCUCCUCCAGCACCCCAUCUUCCCCAGUUUCCCCCGUUUCCCCCCCCACCCACC